GCGGGCGUGGUGGAAUUGGUAGACACGCUAGACUUAGGAUCUAGUACCGCAAGGUGUGAAGGUUCGAGUCCUUUCGCCCGCA
rnacentral:tRNA from 1 species